UUCUUUUUUUUGCUGAUUUAUGCUCCAUUUUAUUUUUGUGUGUUAUCAAUUGUCAAAUUUAUUCUUCAGGCUUUAGCUUUGCAAUGUUCAUGAUAUUUUGUAUCUUGCAAAAGAUUUGCUUAGAGUAAUUUUGUAAACAUUUGAGAUGAAGGUAUGCUCCAUGUAUUUUAUGUUAGAGUAUCACUUUUGCCAUACUAGUUGCUCUAUCAUCCAUCAUUUUCAAUUAAAAUAAUUCUGAAGCAUAUAAACAUGUUUAAUCAUAAUGUCUAUAUAUUUUAAAAAAUAAUUGUACACAUGACAUCGUGUGAUAGGUGAUAUUUACUGCUGACAUAAGCUCCGUUGGUAUUAACAAAAAAAAAGGAGCUCCGUUACAAUCUAAUAAUAACUAUUAGUACAUGGUCACCUAAAAAAAAGAAUUAUUCUAUUUAAUAUAGCAAGAUAAAAAGUACAUAUUGCUUUUGAUGAUUAAAAUGAGCCAAGGCUUUGGACAGUAUGCCAAUUUACUCUAAUCCUAAUCUAGUAGAAGCUUACAUGUUCAUCUAAUCUCUUAUGUUGGUUAAUGCAUUAAUUUUAAAUACUAAGUUGAAGAGACUUAACAUGAGACCAUAUCAUAUGGUACUCCAUUCACCUGCUUUGUCUGAUUGUUUGAAGUUACAUUUUCAUGUAGAGUCGGCAUUUAGAAGUCUAGUUACCAUGUGACGAGUAUGGAAAUGUUGUGCUUUGUAGUAGAGAUUGCAGUGUUCAGAGGAGGCACCAAAAGGCAAGCUUCUAUUCACUUUUCAUCUUACUUUUAAUUUGAUAAAUUCUCAGAACCAUUUCCUUAUGGUCUGGAGUUUGGGAGUAUAUUUACUAAUGCCCUCUCUAUUUUCAACAUAGAAGUAGUUUCUGAAUAUUCUCCCUUUCUAGCUUGUCUUUGGCCUCUCAUUUUACAAUCAUAACUUAGAUUCAAAGGAAAAAAGCUCAAUCCAUCUUCAAGACAAAUUUUUAACUGAAAUUUAUAAACAUAUUAACAGAUUCAUGGCCAACAAAUUUAUCACAAUAACUAUUCUAGCAUGAGAUUAUCCUCUUUCAUAACUUUAUUUUCAAACUAAAAAAAAACUUCAGUUUGUCAUUCUUCUUCCCGAAUAAACUUUUUAUUUUUUGAAUCUAAAAUGACUGAAUGACUUUAUUGACAACUCAAUAAAUUGUUACCAGAUUAUUGAGGAAAAUGUGUAGGUUAUGUUGGUGCCACUACAGUUGAGUAUCUUUAUAGCAUGGAAACUGGUGAAUACUACUUUCUAGAGCUCAAUCCUAGAUUAUAGGUUUGUUGAUAUACACACUGUAAACUGCAGAUGGUUUAUUCAAAAUUUUCUAUAGAUUUUUUUUUGUUUUUUUAAAUUAUUUUUGUAGGUUGAACACCUAACUAAGUGGAUUGCUAAUCUAAACUUGCCUAUGUCUUAAGUUGCUGUAGGGAUGGGAAUACCUCUUUGGCAAAUUCCAAGUGAAAAUUUUAUAACCCAUAUGGUUAACAAACUAUCCAUUUAUUUAUGAUGUUUACUAUUCUUAUCUCAUAAUGUUUGCUUGAAUUGAGAAAUCAAACAGUUUUAUGGAAUGAAUAAUAAAGGAGGUUAUGAUGCAUGGAAGAAAACAUCUAUUCUAGCAACUCCUUUUGACUUUGAUAAGGCUGAGUCUGUCUGGCCUAGAGGACACUGUGUAGCUGUUCAUGUCACUAGUGAGAUCCAGAUGAUGGGUUCAAGCCUAAGAGUGGAAAAGUGCAGGAAUUGAGUUUUAAAAGCAAACCUAACACAAGGGCGUAGUUCUCUGUCAAGGCUGACAUCAUAGAACAACUCCGGCUUCAACACAAGAAGGAUCUUCUCCGGGUGGUAGACAGGUUUGAAUCACAUUACUGCUUUUGAAGUACUAUAAAAUUUUAAUAUUUGCAACGAUGACGUGCAAUAUUUGCUACUUGAAGGGUAUGAAAAAUAAGAACAAGCUAAUACUUAUAUUC